GAUGAACGCUAGCUACAAGCUUAACACAUGCAAGUCGAGGGGUAACGAGAGGAAAGCUUGCUUUCCUUGUCGACGACCGGCGCACGGGUGAGUAACGCGUAUCCAACCUGCCCCCAACUAGGGAAUAACCUUGCGAAAGUAAGACUAAUACCCUAUAAUUUCCUCAGAUGUCAUCUGACGAGGAAUAAAGAUUUAUCGGUUGUGGAUGGGAUGCGUCUGAUUAGCUUGUUGGCGGGGUAACGGCCCACCAAGGCAACGAUCAGUAGGGGUUCUGAGAGGAAGGUCCCCCACAUUGGAACUGAGACACGGUCCAAACUCCUACGGGAGGCAGCAGUGAGGAAUACUGGUCAAUGGGCGGAAGCCUGAACCAGCCAAGUAGCGUGCAGGAUGACGGCCCUAUGGGUUGUAAACUGCUUUUAUACAGGAAUAAAGUUAGCCACGUGUGGUUAUUUGUAGGUACUGUAUGAAUAAGGACCGGCUAAUUCCGUGCCAGCCGCCGCGGUAA
rnacentral:rRNA from 1 species